rnacentral:rRNA from 1 species
GAUGAACGCUGGCGGCGCGCCUAACACAUGCAAGUCGAACGAUUAAAGCACCUUCGGGUGUGUAUAAAGUGGCGAACGGCUGAGUAAAACGUGGGCAACCUGCCCCUCUCAUUGGGAUAGCCACGGGAAACCGUGGAUAAUACCGAAUACUUCGGGACUUCCGCAUGGAAGACUCGAGAAAGCUCCGGCGGAGAGGGAUGGGCCCGCGGCCUGUUAGCUUGUUGGUGGGGUAAUGGCCUACCAAGGCAAUGAUGGGUAGCUGGGUUGAGAGACCGACCAGCCAGAUUGGGACUGAGACACGGCCCAGACUCCUACGGGAGGCAGCAGUGGGGAAUCUUGCACAAUGGGCGAAAGCCUGAUGCAGCGACGCCGCGUGCGGGAUGAAGGCCUUCGGGUUGUAAACCGCUUUCAGCAGGGACGAGGCGAAAGUGACGGUACCUGCAGAAGAAGCCCCGGCUAACUACGUG